CCACUUUACUCCUAUCUCCGUGUUAGAGUGCUCUGUCCAGGGUCCUCACAGUUUCCUGCUUCACUUCCAGAUGAAGCAAUUCAAGAGAGAUCAAGUAUAAAGUAACUUUCAUGUUCCAUUCUCAGAAGUCACAAACCAUCAUGUGUGCCACAUUCUACUUAUCAGAAGUGAGUUACCAAGUCCAGCCCACUUUCAAGAAGAGAAUUUAGCUCCCCUUUCUUUCUUUCUUUCUUUCUUUCUUUUUUUCUUUCUUUCUUUCUACACAGGGUCUCACUUUGUAACUCAGGCUGGCCUUGAACUCACUAUGUAGCCUGGGCUGGUCUUGAACUUUCAGUGAUCUUCCUGGCUCAGCCUCCCAAGUGCUGGGAUUACAGUGUGCUCUACUCAGAUAGUCUCCUGUCAGAAUACGGAAGCCAACCCAACAUGCAGAAAGUCCACCGUGUCUGAGAAUGACUCCCUCCAUUCACCUCCUCCCCUGCCAUUGAUCACUGCCAUGAUAGGUCAGGACAUUCAAUGCCAUUCCUCUUUGCCUCUGGUCAAAUCUUCUGAAACAUAACUUCCUCCAGAGAACUUCAGGAUGAGGAUGAAGUACCCAUCACAGGACUUUGCCUGAGAUUACAUCUGCCUGCUCCCUCCCCAUGUGAUCUACUCCCUCCUGCCUCCUUUCCAAUGUUCCCUGGAAGUGUUUUCUUAAUAAAUACAUCCACAUGAAUCAUCCUCUUGGGGUGUGCUUCUCAGAAACCCAACUACAGCUCAGUAUUUGCAGCCAUAGCACUGAUCAGAUGACUCUCUCCUACAGAAAAUUUG
ensembl:lncRNA